rnacentral:rRNA from 1 species
UAAGGGCGCACGGUGGAUGCCUUGGCACUAGGAGCCGAUGAAGGACGGGACUAACACCGAUAUGCUUUGGGGAGCUGUACGUAAGCUAUGAUCCAGAGAUUUCCGAAUGGGGGAACCCAACAUCUUUAAUAGGAUGUUACGAUUGUGUGAAUACAUAGCACAUUCGAGGUAGACGCAGAGAACUGAAACAUCUAAGUACCUGCAGGAAGAGAAAGAAAAUUCGAUUCCCUGAGUAGCGGCGAGCGAAACGGGAAAAGCCCAAACCAGCAAGCUUGCUUGUUGGGGUUGUAGGACUCCAAUAUGGUAGUUCUUUCAGAUAGUCGAAUGACUUGGAAAAGUCAGUCAAAGAGGGUAAAAACCCCGUAGACGAAAUGUGGAAGACACCUAGGAGGAUCCUGAGUACGGCGGAACACGAGAAAUUCCGUCGGAAUCCGGGAGGACCAUCUCCCAAGGCUAAAUACUCCCUAGUGACCGAUAGUGAACCAGUACCGUGAGGGAAAGGUGAAAAGCACCCCGGAAGGGGAGUGAAAUAGAACCUGAAACCGUGUGCCUACAACAAGUCAAAGCCCGUUAAUGGGUGAUGGCGUGCCUUUUGUAGAAUGAACCGGCGAGUUACGAUUGCAUGCGAGGUUAAGUUGAAGAGACGGAGCCGCAGCGAAAGCGAGUCUGAAUAGGGCGUUUGAGUAUGUAGUCGUAGACCCGAAACCAUGUGAUCUACCCAUGUCCAGGUUGAAGGUGCGGUAAAACGCACUGGAGGACCGAACCCACGU